GGGGGGGGGGGGAAAUUGCCCCGGGCCCCGAGGUGCUGGGGGCCCCUGAAAAUUUUUUGUUGGGCCCCAGUCUUUUUUGUGUGAUAAAUAUUUCCGCGCAAAGGACAAGAUAUCUGUUUUCUUGGGCUAAGUACCGAAAUUUGGCAUAAAAAAUGAGAUAAAUUUUUUCCGGAAAAAUUUUUGGAAUAUGGGGCCCCCGAAAAAAAAUUUGCGCCGGGCCCCCGCCAACCUCUCGGCGGCCCUGCGCGCCGUUGAGGUAUAGCCAUCCAUUUGUCCUGCAGCAGUUGAACCAACAGUCAGCCAGAGUGCUGUAUUCUGUAAUAGGCGACGAUAGAAAGAGCGCUUGAGCUGGUCCCUAAGACGUUCAAUUGAGGUGAGAUAUGGGCAUAGAUAUCUUAUAUACACUAGAUAGUGCAUCUAAUUAUUCUGCAAUUCAAAAAUUGAAGCCGUGAUUGCAGACUCAGGAUAUUCCCAUGAAAUGAGAAGACUCGUACAGUAUGUUUUCUAAUUCUUAAACAGGGUACUUAAACAUUAAGCCUGUUCCAAAUACAUUUUCAAACUAUUCAAAUGAUGAAAGUUAUUGUUGUUUUUUAAGCGUUUAUUAGCGAGUGGGAAACUCCACAUGGCCGCCAUCUAUUCAAAUGUGAGUAACAGCUGGAAUAUUUUGGCUUCAAUUUUACUAAAAGAGAUGCGCUAUCUAGUAGUGUAUACAGCUAUUUCAAUUAAGGUUGUCCCCCGAGCAAAGCGGAAAAGUCGAAUACGAGCGCGAAAGGCUGCUGGAAAUCGCUAAUAAAUGAAUGAAUUUAUUAACGAUUCCCAGCAGCCUUUCGCGCUCGUAUUCGACUUUUCCGCUUUGCUCGGGCGACAACCUUAAUUGAAAUAGCUGUACAAGAUAUCUAUCAACCUCGUUCCCAGGGUUGAUCUAUGGAUAUGGCGAGUUCGGCGUUAUCAUCCAUUGUUCAUAUCGUUAACAUUUAUUAAUUUUGCAAUUGGGUAUUUUUGUAUUCAAUGGAAGUUAAGUCAUUCUUUCAAGCAUGAAUGACCCCAUUCUUCACGCAGCGUUAACUACCAUGGGUCUAGUGAUUAUCAGAGACUCGUUUGUUUAGAUCUUAUAUGCCGAUGUAUUUAAGGGAGAACUUUAUUUCUGUGCGGUGUUUAUUUAAGCUCGGCAGGAAAUUCCAAAUGCUAAAGCAUUUCUUAAGAAAAUUUUACGUUCACUUGUCUAACAUUUAAUUCGUUGUUUCUUACAACUUCACUUGUAUAAAGACUGGAUUACAUAUACAAUGAUUGCGGACUCUUCUGACCAUUUUGUACAGUAGAUUGAAUUACUGCGUCAAAUUGAAGAAAUACGUUUAAAUAGAAUUACAGGAAUUAUGUUUUCUUCAAUGAUUCCAAAUGAAUGCCGAUUGCUGUGUCUGAAAGCAAUAAUCUGUUUAAAAGAGUUUCAUUCGUGAAUGGAUUGUUCUGGAUAACUCGUGUAGUUUUCCGGAAUUUUAAAUUUUUAGUUUUCUGUUAUUAUGGAG